rnacentral:rRNA from 1 species
CACGUAGGGGGCAAGCGUUGUCCGGAAUCAUUGGGCGUAAAGCGCGUGUAGGCGGCUCGGUAAGUCCGCUCUGAAAGUCCGGGGCUCAACCCCGGGAGGCGGGUGGAUACUGUCGAGCUCGAGUCCGGAAGAGGCGAGUGGAAUUCCUGGUGUAGCGGUGAAAUGCGCAGAUAUCAGGAGGAACACCGAUGGCGAAGGCAGCUCGCUGGGACGUGACUGACGCUGAGACGCGAAAGCGUGGGGAGCAAACAGG